rnacentral:antisense_RNA from 1 species
AAGGACUGUGCUCCCAAUCCGCUUAUGCUCAAGGAAGAACUGAUGGAGUCUCGCUCUGUCGCCCAGGCUGGAGUGCAAUGGCGUGAUCUCGGCUCAUUGCAACCUCUGCCUCCUGGGUUCAAGCGAUUCUUCUGCCUCAGCCUUCUGUGUAGCUAGGAUUACAGGAAGGCCCAGAACCAGCCUGAUGUCAGGAUCAGAACAAAAGAGGAGGACUGCAUAUGUAUGGACCCACUCCAGAUGGCACGGGGACGGGGGGGAGUAGGAAAAGUGGCAUGGUGAGCAGAGCCCUGGCUAUGCAGGUGGCAGAUGGCAGAGUUGGAAGGAAUCUUGGAAGUCCUUGCAUGGAU